AAAAAGCGAGGAAACGCCGGAAAUAUGUGCUCACCUAGGAACGGCGAGAGGAGCACGGCGACGAAGACGGUCCACGAGGCCGCGGUGUUGGAGAGGAUGAAGGCGGGCACCGGGCGCACGUAGGAGACCGCGGCGGCGACGCCGGAGGUGAAGACGAACUGGGCGGCGAGGAUCGCGUACACCUUGCGGAUGAACCCCCAACGGAGCCUCGGAUCCUCCGUCAUCUUCGGGUACAGUACGGCGUCUGCGGCGGCUCCCUUGCCGGCGGAGGCUGGGCCCCCGNUGUUGGAGAGGAUGAAGGCGGGCACCGGGCGCACGUAGGAGACCGCGGCGGCGACGCCGGAGGUGAAGACGAACUGGGCGGCGAGGAUCGCGUACACCUUGCGGAUGAACCCCCAACGGAGCCUCGGAUCCUCCGUCAUCUUCGGGUACAGUACGGCGUCUGCGGCGGCUCCCUUGCCGGCGGAGGCUGGGCCCCCGCCGCCGCCGCCGG
rnacentral:lncRNA from 1 species